AGAUUAAACUGAAGAGUUUGAUCCUGGCUCAGAUUGAACGCUAGCGGCAUGCCUUACACAUGCAAGUCGAACGGCAGCACGGGGCAACCUGGUGGCGAGUGGCGAACGGGUGAGUAAUAUAUCGGAACGUGCCCAGUAGCGGGGGAUAACUACGCGAAAGCGUAGCUAAUACCGCAUACGCCCUACGGGGGAAAGGGGGGGAUCGCAAGACCUCUCACUAUUGGAGCGGCCGAUAUCGGAUUAGCUAGUUGGUGAGGUAAAGGCUCACCAAGGCUUCGAUCCGUAGCUGGUUUGAGAGGACGACCAGCCACACUGGGACUGAGACACGGCCCAGACUCCUACGGGAGGCAGCAGUGGGGAAUUUUGGACAAUGGGGGAAACCCUGAUCCAGCCAU
rnacentral:rRNA from 1 species